rnacentral:rRNA from 1 species
CAGUCAUGCAGGCGAGUAAUCAGCCUUUCGGGUGCGAUUCUGUGGGGUGUGAAGAGUUAAACGCCUUCACGUUUUGCAUAUUCGUGCUCUUGGGUGUACUUGCCUGUGUGGUUGGUUAACAUCAAUUUGGACGCCAUAAAAUGGCUGGAGGAAUGUAGCUUCGAUCUUGUAUUGAAG